AACGAACGCUGGCGGCAUGCCUAACGCAUGCAAGUCGAACGAAGCCUUCGGGCUUAGUGGCGCACGGGUGCGUAACGCGUGGGAAUCUGCCCCUUGCUUCGGAAUAACAGUUAGAAAUGACUGCUAAUACCGGAUGAAGUCUUCGGACCAAAGAUUUAUCGGCAAGGGAUGAGCCCGCGUAGGAUUAGGUAGUUGGUGGGGUAAAGGCCUACCAAGCCGACGAUCCUUAGCUGGUCUGAGAGGAUGAUCAGCCACACUGGGACUGAGACACGGCCCAGACUCCUACGGGAGGCAGCAGUGGGGAAUAUUGGACAAUGGACGCAAGUCUGAUCCAGCAAUGCCGCGUGAGUGAUGAAGGCCUUAGGGUUGUAAAGCUCUUUUACCAGGGAUGAUAAUGACAGUACCUGGAGAAUAAGCUCCGGCUAACUCCGUG
rnacentral:rRNA from 1 species